rnacentral:rRNA from 1 species
GACGAACGCUGGCGGCGUGCUUAACACAUGCAAGUCGAGCGGAGCGGCGAACGGGUGAGUAACGCGAGAGUAACGGCCCCCCUCUCUGGGAUAACAGUUGGAAACGGCUGCGAAUACCGGAUAGUGGGGGAUGACUCGCGUCCUAUCAGCAUGUUGGUGGGGUAGUGGCCUACCAAGGCGACGACGGGUAGCCGGCCUGAGAGGGCGACCGGCCACAGUGGUCUGGGGAAGGGGCCGAACUCCUACGGGAGGCAGGAGUGGGGAAUAGUGCACAAGGGGGGAAACGCUGAAGCAGCAACGCCGGGUGGGGGAUGACGGCCAUCGGGUAGUAAGCCGCUUUCAGCCAUAACGGGGUCGUGGCAGAAGAGGCACCGGCUAACUACGUGCCAGCGGCCGCGGUAAUAC